rnacentral:rRNA from 1 species
UACGUAGGGGGCAAGCGUUGUCCGGAUUUAUUGGGCGUAAAGAGCGUGUAGGCGGCUUGGUAGGUCCGCUGUGAAAACUCGAGGCUCAACCUCGAGAUGUCGGCGGAAACCACUUGGCUAGAGUCCGGAAGAGGAGAGUGGAAUUCCCGGUGUAGCGGUGAAAUGCGCAGAUAUCGGGAAGAACACCUAUGGCGGAAGGCAGCUCUCUGGGACGGUACUGACGCUGAGACGCGAAAGCGUGGGGAGCGAACAGG